CGGGUGGGAAGAUAUAACGGGGCUAAAGCAUAAACCGAAGCUCCGGAUAGAUAAUGAUAUCUAUGGUAGAGGAGCAAUCUGUAAGCCGUCGAAGAAGGACCGCGAGGUUAGUUGGAGGUAUCAGAAGUGAGAAUGCUGACAUGAGUAACGAGAGAUAGGUGAAAACCCUAUCCGCCGAAUGACCAAGGUUUCCUGUCCAACGCUAAUCGGGACAGGGUAAGUCGGCCCCUAAGGCGAGGGCGAAGGCCGUAGUCGAUGGAAAACAGGUUAACAUUCCUGUACUUCCUAUUACUGCGAUGGAGUGACGGAGAAGGCUAGAUCAUCAGGGCGCUGGUUGUCCCUGUUUAAGGAUGUAGAUUUGUAUUUUAGGUAAAUCCGGAAUACUUUAAAUUGAGAUCUGAUGACGAUUGAUUUUUUAAAUCAAGAAGUGAUUGAUGCCAUGCUUCCAGGAAAAACUUCUAAGCAUAAGUAGUAGGGAACCGUACUGCAAACCGACACAGGUGGUCAGGUAGAGAAUACUAAGGCGCAUGAGAGAACUUGGGUUAAGGAACUAGGCAAAAUGGUACCGUAACUUCGGGAGAAGGUACGCCUCUAUUACGUGAAAGAACUUGCUUCUGGAGCGGAAAGAGGUCGAAGAUACCAGGUGGCUGCGACUGUUUACUAAAAACAUAGCACUCUGCAAACACGUAAGUGGAAGUAUAGGGUGUGACGCCUGCCCGGUGCCGGAAGGUUAAUUGAUGGGGUUAGUCCUCGGACGAAGCUCUUGAUCGAAGCCCCGGUGAACGGCGGCCGUAACUAUAACGGUCCUAAGGUAGCGAAAUUCCUUGUCGGGUAAGUUCCGACCUGCACGAAUGGCGUAACGAUGGCCAUACUGUCUCGACCCAGGACUCAGUGAAAUUGAAUUUGCGGUGAAGAUGCCGUAUACGCGCGGCAAGACGGAAAGACCCCGUGCACCUUUACUAUAGCUUCACACUGGACUUUGAAUUUAUAUGUGUAGGAUAGGUGGGAGACUUUGAAGCAUAGGCGUCAGCUUAUGUGGAGUCGUCCUUGAAAUACCACCCUUAUACAUUUGAGGUUCUAACUUAGACCCGUUAUCCGGGUUGAGGACAGUGUGUGGUGGGUAGUUUGACUGGGGCGGUCUCCUCCCAAAGAGUAACGGAGGAGUACGAAGGUUACCUCAGCACGGUCAGACAUCGUGCAAUGAGUGCAAUGGCAUAAGGUAGCUUAACUGCGAGACCGACGGGUCGAGCAGGUACGAAAGUAGGUCAUAGUGAUCCGGUGGUUCUGUAUGGAAGGGCCAUCGCUCAACGGAUAAAAGGUACGCCGGGGAUAACAGGCUGAUACCCCCCAAGAGUUCACAUCGACGGGGGUGUUUGGC
rnacentral:rRNA from 1 species